AACUUUAGCACAUGGGGACCACCUGAGGGCUCCUUAAAGCAGCGUGCUGGCCCCACCCCAGAGCCUCUGAUUCCCUGGGGCUGGGGAGGGCGGAGACUUAGAAUUUCGGGCCAAUUCCAAGGUCAGGAAUUGUGGCAGGUCCGGCCACCUCGAUUUGAAGACGACUGUUAAAGCACACCUCACUUUGCUUCAGGAUGGCCAUGUGUCCACCUAAAACUAUUUACUCUGCGCGGCCAGGCAACCCAGUGCUGGCUGCCUAGUGCAGAAAGCAGCCCCGAGAACUAGAGCUGGAAAAUGAAGCAGCCAUCUUGCUGUGCGAGGCAACAAGUCCCCAGAGGAGGACACGGUGAGCAGAGCAGAAGAGGGAAAACACUGGGGUCACACGGCCGUAUCCAGCCCUAUCUGAGACCUGGCUUACAGAUUAAAGUGUGCAUCAAUGAAUGAAUCAAUGGGACACCACCCUCAGGCUUCCAUCCUGGCCCACCUGCAGCCUUUGGCCCCUUGACCUCCUGGAAGGCAAACCAAGCCCCUCGCCGAGUUGCAGGCCUCCCUCAAGUCCCACCAGACUCCACCGGACUGAUUCAUGUGGGCUGGUCACGUCUUUGGUUUUGAACCUGGAAGUCUCACAGCUUGGGGGCGAGGGCUCCUCCCUGCUCCUCUGCCAGGCUGUCGAAGGGAAAUGCUGCCUCCCUAAGCGUGUCUCUGCUGAGCUGCCAUGACAGCACUGGAAUGGAGACCACUGGAAAUCAAGAAUCUCUUGUUGGAAAGCACGAAUCUCUAGGAGUUCCCAUUGUGGCACAGCAGAAACGAAUCUGACUA